rnacentral:rRNA from 1 species
AGUGAACGCUGGCGGUAGGCCUAACACAUGCAAGUCGAACGGCAGCACAGUAAGAGCUUGCUCUUACGGGUGGCGAGUGGCGGACGGGUGAGGAAUACAUCGGAAUCUACUUUUUCGUGGGGGAUAACGUAGGGAAACUUACGCUAAUACCGCAUACGACCUACGGGUGAAAGCAGGGGAUCUUCGGACCUUGCGCGAUUGAAUGAGCCGAUGUCGGAUUAGCUAGUUGGCGGGGUAAAGGCCCACCAAGGCGACGAUCCGUAGCUGGUCUGAGAGGAUGAUCCGCCACACUGGAACUUGAACACGGUCCAGACUCCUACGGGAGGCAGCAGUGGGGAAUAUUGGACAAUGGGCGCAAGCCUGAUCCAGCCAUACCGCGUGGGUGAAGAAGGCCUUCGGGUUGUAAAGCCCUUUUGUUGGGAAAGAAAAGCAGCAGGUUAAUACCCCGCUGUUCUGACGGUACCCAAAGAAUAAGCACCGGCUAACUUCGUG